rnacentral:rRNA from 1 species
UGCAAGUCGAGCGAGAAAGCCCGCUUCGGCGGGUGAGUAAAGCGGCGCAACGGGUGAGUAACACGUGAGUCACCUACCCCUCAGUAGGGGAUAACAUCUCGAAAGGGUUGCUAAUACCGUGUACGGUCCCGACCGUUCCUGCGGUUGGGACGAAAGGUGGCCUCUCUAUAGAAGCUGCCGCUGGGGGAUGGGCUCGCGCACCAUUAGCUUGUUGGUAGGGUAACGGCCUACCAAGGCUACGAUGGGUAGCUGGUCUGAGAGGACGGCCAGUCACACUGGAACUGAGACACGGUCCAGACUCCUACGGGAGGCAGCAGUGGGGAAUAUUGCACAAUGGGGGAAACCCUGAUGCAGCAACGCCGCGUGCGGGAUGAAGGUCUUCGGGUCGUAAACCGCUGUCAGGAGGGAAGAAAUCGCCCCGGUUAAUAGCCGGGGUGGAUGACGGUACCUCCAGAGGAAGCCCCGGCUAACUCCGUGCCAGCAGCCGCGGUAAGACGGAGGGGGCGAGCGUUGUUCGGAAUUAUUGGGCGUAAAGCGCGCGUAGGCGGUCGGGUCAGUCGGACGUGAAAGCCCAGGGCUCAACCCUGGAAGGGCGUUCGAUACUGCCUGACUUGAGUACGGGAGAGGAGAGCGGAAUUCCCAGUGUAGCGGUG